rnacentral:rRNA from 1 species
UCAGUGGGGGAAGCUACCAUGCAGUCGAACGGUAACAGGAAGCAGCUUGCUGCUUUUGCUGACGAGUGGCGGACGGGUGAGUAAUGUCUGGGAAACUGCCUGAUGGAGGGGGAUAACUACUGGAAACGGUAGCUAAUACCGCAUAACGUCGCAAGACCAAAGAGGGGGACCUUAGGGCCUCUUGCCAUCGGAUGUGCCCAGAUGGGAUUAGCUAGUAGGUGGGGUAACGGCUCACCUAGGCGACGAUCCCUAGCUGGUCUGAGAGGAUGACCAGCCACACUGGAACUGAGACACGGUCCAGACUCCUACGGGAGGCAGCAGUGGGGAAUAUUGCACAAUGGGCGCAAGCCUGAUGCAGCCAUGCCGCGUGUAUGAAGAAGGCCUUCGGGUUGUAAAGUACUUUCAGCGGGGAGGAAGGGAGUAAAGUUAAUACCUUUGCUCAUUGACGUUACCCGCAGAAGAAGCACCGGCUAACUCCGUGCCAGCAGCCGCGGUAAUACGGAGGGUGCAAGCGUUAAUCGGAAUUACUGGGCGUAAAGCGCACGCAGGCGGUUUGUUAAGUCAGAUGUGAAAUCCCCGGGCUCAACCUGGGAACUGCAU